UUCUGGCUCAGAUUGAACGCUGGCGGCGUGCUUAACACAUGCAAGUCGCGCGUGAAAGGACUUCGGUCCGAGUAAAGCGGCGCACGGGUGAGUAACGCGUGGAUGAUCUACCCAUGAGUUAGGAAUAACGGCUGGAAACGGUCGCUAAUACCAAAUACGCUCCGAUUUCAACUUCGGGGGAAAGGUGGCCUCUGCUUGCAAGCUACUGCUCAUGGAUGAGUCCGCGUCCCAUUAGCUAGUUGGUGGGGUAACCGGCCCACCAAGGCGACGAUGGGUAGCCGGUCUGAGACGGAUGACCGGCCACACUGGGACUGGAACACGGCCCAGACUCCUACGGGAGGCAGCAGUGGGGAAUAUUGCGCAAUGGGCGAAAGCCUGACGCAGCGACGCCGCGUGAGGGAUGAAAGGUCCUCGGAUCGUAAACCUCUGUCAGGAGGGAAGAACCGCCACGGUGCUAAUCAGCAGUGGUCUGACGGUACCUCCAAAGGAAGCACCGGCUAACUCCGUGCCAGCCGCAGC
rnacentral:rRNA from 1 species